ACCAGUUCCACAGCUCUGGAUUCAGUUCGAUGUGUGUUGGGAGGGUCUAGUGAGUGCCUACUAACGUAGGCAGCAAUUGGAAUUUUGUUACCAUUCUCUCUCCUGAUAACAAGGCUCAGGUGGCUCUGCGGAGAUGGCUGGGUAGUCAGGAGUGCUGGCUGCUCUUCCACAGAACCCAGGUUCAGUUCUGAACACCCACAUCAGACAACGUUCACCUGCCUCUAACUCCAGUUCCGGGAAACCUGACACUCUCUUCUGACCUCUGUGGACAUCUACAUACACAGGAGACACUCAUACAGACACACAUAUAUACAUAAAUAAAAUAAAUCUUUUAAAAAUAAAAUAUUGAAAAGAAAACAAUCAUCCGUUGGUGAAGGACUGAGGCCAGAGCUGUGUGAGAACGGGAAGUAUUUCUUCCAUUCUUGUCUCUCGUGGAGGCCUAUGUUGGAUUCCAGAGGUAGGAAAAGGAGUUUCCACAAACUCCUCAUUAUCGCUUCAUCUUCUGGCAUUGGAAUUCUUUAAAAUUUUCACUUGAAGUCUUUCAAUCUGCUCUAGACUAACUAGAUGUGGGGUGGCCACUGUCAUCCCCCAAAAGAGAUAUAUAUCUUUCCUCCAUCUUGAUGGGGGGGGGGACCUCCCAUCCUUAAUGGUAUUUAUUUGUAUGCCAAGAACCCGUGUGGAUAAAAUCAUUACGACCCAUUCCUAGAACGUGACAUCUGUGAGCCAGCCUGCUCUGCAGACCCAGCACAACACUGACAAUGUGAGACCUCUCCCUGUGUACGAGAUACAGCCACCGUAGACAGGAAUCCGCAGUGGUGAUCUUCAGCGGUGGAGUAGCUGAUGUUAAACUGCCAUAUCCCAGACCACACAAGGAGCUAAAGAGUACCAGAGAGCACUCAGAUCAUCAGAAAAGUCGGAUGGCAUAAGAACAACAGUGGACACGGAGAGCCUGAGAGGUGGUAGAGACUCCAGAGGACAAAAAGGCCGUAAGGAUCUGAAAGUGGAGGUUGUGUGUAUGAAGACUGCAAGGCCAGCCACUGCGUCAGAGGCUAUAAAGAGCUCAGGGACUUGGCCCUCAGCACUCAGGAGCUGUGGCACUAGGAGGCCUCUGGGCAAUCGGCUCUAAGCCUAGAGUACUAAGCCUCUGGCCUCUAGUACAGUAAGCUUCCUGCUUUGGAAGCUCGGAGCCUCCAGUCUCCAGUUCCCAAGACUUAACAGCUCUAGGCCUCUGGAUUUCUAAGGCCAGCUUGUGAAUCUCUGGGACUCAAGGUCAUCAACGGGAAGGGACCUGCCCUUUGCUGUUCGUGACUUCUACCCAGAGAGCAAAACAACCCCUAGCCAUCUUUUUAUGAGAGAACACAUGUGGCUCCUUGGGACAGCCCCAGGAGUAGACUCCCCAGGUGAUGUUGACAAUGAUCAGUUGAUGCUUCCGGCUGCCUUUCACCAGGACCUCGGAUCAGACAGAAGCAAGCAGUGAGUACUAUGGCUGGCUUAAUUCGUUCCUGCCAUGGAGGAACAAGUCUGAUCUAUCGCCAGUAAUUAACCUUUGCACCUACAGACCACAUCGGUUUGGAGGACAAUCAAAAGCUGAGCAAAUAAGGGCUGGAGAGAUGGCUCAGCGGUUGAGAGCACUGACUGUUCUUCCAGAGGUCCUGAGUUCAAAUCCCAGCAACCACAUGGUGGCCCACAACCAUCUGUAACAAGUCCUGAUCCCCUCUUCUGGUGUAACUGAAGACAGUGGCACAGUGGCAGUGUUCUCA